GGUGUCUAGGGCUAUAUUUUACCUUUUAAGAGGAACAGGACGAAUGAAGAGAAUUUAGGUGGGCCAUGGCUGGCCUCUCACUCCAGUACGAUAGGUGGUGAUGUAUACAGCUAAAAGUUGGAUGCGAUCCGCCAACCAAAUCCCAAAGGAGAAGCUAGCUAGCAGGAAGCCCCGCUAAUGAAUUGAGAUCCUCUCAAGCUCUGUCAGGUUGGAUGGGGAGUGUCGCUGCACAGCUAUUUUCAGGUCUCUCCAGAGAUCGAUCGGGUUCAAGUCUGCGCUCUGGCUGGGCCAUUCAAGAACAUUCAGAGACUUGUCCCGAAGCUACUCCUGCGCUGUCUUGGUUUUGUGCUUAGGGUUGUUGUCCUGUUGGAAGGUGAACCUUCGCCCCAGUCUGAGGUCCUGAGCGCUCAGGAGCAGGUUUUCAUCAAGGAUCUCUCUGUACUUGAUAAAGGAAUUUAUAUGUUUAAAGUAAUGACUAAAGAAUUCCACCCUGAAACGUAUUUAACGGCGUGAAAUGUAUUAGAAUUAUAAGACUAUAAUCCAAUAAUGUGUGUGUGUGAGACAAGUUAAGAGUGAGAAAUGUAUAGUUGAGAAAACAAAGGACAACUGAACUACACAUGACCUGGUUAUAACUCGAAAACUGACAACAGGAAAGAGGGCCCUUCCAAGGCCCCUCUAAUCUAGGGAGGAGAGGAACAGCUAGAAACUGCCAGGCUGGUAGAAAAGUGAUAAACUAGGAAUGUGAACUGUGGAAAAAGAUACAGCCCACCUGAAAGAAAGGUGGAGUUUCUAUUGAUAAGAAUGCAGUUGUGUGUGUGUGGGUGUUAUAAAGACUGUGUUCUCAAUUUUGACUUCAGAGCUCUCUGAAUAAAGAACAACUAACCUUUUGCAGUAUCUGAGACUUUGCCUAAUUCUUAUUUUUAACCCGAGACUUACAACCUCUGGGAAUUGGUCAAAGCUUAAAUGAUUGUUUAGUUAUCAUGAUUGGGAUUGAAAAUUCUUGUGACAGUACUUUGCUCCGUUCAUCUUUCCCUCGAUCCUGACUAGUCUCCCAGUCCCUGCCUCUGAAAAACAUCCCAACAGCAUGAUGCUGCCACCCCCAUGCUUCACUGUAGGGAUGGUGCCAGGUUUCCUUCAGACGUGACGCUUGGAAUUCAGGCCAAAAAAGUUCUUUAGGUGCCUUUUGGCAAACCCCAAGCGGGCUGUCAUGUGCCUUUUACUGUGGAGUGGCUUCCGUCUGGCCCCUCUACCAUAAAGGCCUGAUUGUUGGAGUGCUGCAGAGAUGGUUGUCCUUCUGGAAGGUUCUCCCAUCUCCACAGAGGAACUCUGGAGCUCUGAC
rnacentral:lncRNA from 1 species